rnacentral:rRNA from 1 species
UACGAAGGGGGCGAGCGUUGUUCGGAAUUACUGGGCGUAAAGGGCGCGCAGGCGGCUCAUUUUGUCAGGCGUGAAAGCCCCGGGCUUAACCUGGGAGGUGCGUUUGAUACGGAUGGGCUAGAGUUCGGGAGAGGAGAGUGGAAUUCCCAGUGUAGAGGUGAAAUUCGUAGAUAUUGGGAGGAACACCGGUGGCGAAGGCGGCUCUCUGGACCGAGACUGACGCUGAGGCGCGAAAGCGUGGGGAGCAAACAGG